rnacentral:misc_RNA from 1 species
GAUGAAGAACGUAGCGAAAUGCGAUAAGUAGUGUGAAUUGCAGAAUUCAGUGAAUCAUCGAAUCUUUGAACGCACAUUGCGCCCUUUGGUAUUCCAAAGGGCAUGCCUGUUCGAGCGUCAUUUGUACCCUCAAGCUUUGCUUGGUGUUGGGCGUCUUGUCUCUAGCUUUGCUGGAGACUCGCCUUAAAGUAAUUGGCAGCCGGCCUACUGGUUUCGGAGCGCAGCACAAGUCGCACUCUCUAUCAGCAAAGGUCUAGCAUCCAUUAAGCCUUUUUUUCAACUUUUGACCUCGGAUCAGGUAGGGAUACCCGCUGAACCUAAGCAUAUCAAUAAGCGGAGGA